rnacentral:rRNA from 1 species
UGGGGAAUAUUGGACAAUGGGCGAAAGCCUGAUCCAGCAAUGCCGCGUGAGUGAUGAAGGCCUUAGGGUUGUAAAGCUCUUUUACCCGAGAUGAUAAUGACAGUAUCGGGAGAAUAAGCUCCGGCUAACUCCGUGCCAGCAGCCGCGGUAAUACGGAGGGAGCUAGCGUUGUUCGGAAUUACUGGGCGUAAAGCGCACGUAGGCGGCUUUUUAAGUCAGGGGUGAAAUCCCGGGGCUCAACCCCGGAACUGCCCUUGAAACUGGGAAGCUAGAAUCUUGGAGAGGCGAGUGGAAUUCCGAGUGUAGAGGUGAAAUUCGUAGAUAUUCGGAAGAACACCAGUGGCGAAGGCGACUCGCUGGACAAGUAUUGACGCUGAGGUGCGAAAGCGUGGGGAGCAAA